AGUGAACGCUGGCGGUAGGCCUAACACAUGCAAGUCGAACGGAAGCACAGUAAGAGCUUGCUUUUACGGUUGGCGAGUGGCGGACGGGUGAGAAAUACAUCGGAAUCUUCUUUUUCGUGGGGGAUAACGUAGGGAAACUUACGCUAAUACCGCAUACGACCUACGGGAGAAAGCAGUGGAUCUUCGGACUUUGGGCGAUUCAAUGAGCCGAUGUCGGAUUAGCUAGUUGGUGAGGUAAAGGCUCACCAAGGCGACGAUCCGUAGCUGAUCUGAGAGGGUGGUGGGCCACACUGGAACUGAGACACGGUCCAGACUCCUACGGGAGGCAGCAGUCGGGAAGCUUGCGCAAUGGGCGAAAGCCUGACGGAGCAACGCCGCGUGAGUGAUGAAGGUCUUCGGAUCGUAAAACUCUGUUAUUAGGGAAGAACAAAUGUGUAAGUAACUAUGCACGUCUUGACGGUACCUAAUCAGAAAGCCACGGCUAACUACGUG
rnacentral:rRNA from 1 species